rnacentral:rRNA from 1 species
GAUGAACGCUGGCGGCGUGCCUAAUACAUGCCAGUCGAGCGAACAGACGAGGAGCUUGCUCCGCUCACGUUAGCCGCGGAGGGGUGAGUAACACGUGUAAACCCUACCUAUAAGACUGGGAUAACUUCGGGACACCGGCGCUAAUACCGUAUAAUAUAUUGCAGCACGUUGGGCGAUAGUAAGAGACGGUGUUGCUGUCACUUAUAGAUGGAUCCGCGCCGCUUUAGCUAGUUGGUAAGGUAACGGGCUACCACGGCAACGAUGCGUAGCCGACCUGAGGGGGUGGUAGGCCACACUGGAACGUAGACAGGGACCAUACGCCUACGGGAGGGAGCAGUAGGGAAUCUGACGCAAUGGGCGAAAGCAUGACGGAGUAAGGCCGAGUGAGUGAUGAAGGUCUUGGGAUCGUAAAACUCUGUUAUUAGGGAUGAACAACUGUGUACGUAAAUAUGCCGGUCUUGACGGUAACGAGUAAGAAAGCCACGGCUAACUACGUG